GACGAACGCUGGCGGCGUGCCUAAUACAUGCAAGUCGAGCGGACCUCUUCGGAGGUCAGCGGCGGACGGGUGAGUAACACGUGGGCAACCUGCCUGUAAGACUGGGAUAACACCGGGAAACCGGUGCUAAUACCGGAUAAUCCUUUUCCUCACAUGAGGGGCAGCUGAAAGACGGUUUCGGCUGUCACUUAAAGAUGGGCCCGCGGCGCAUUAGCUAGUUGGUGGGGUAACGGCCCACCAAGGCGACGAUGCGUAGUCGACCUGAGAGGGUGAUCGGCCACACUGGGACUGAGACACGGCCCAGACUCCUACGGGAGGCAGCAGUAGGGAAUCUUCCGCAAUGGACGAAAGUCUGACGGAGCAACGCCGCGUGAGCGAAGAAGGCCUUCGGGUCGUAAAGCUCUGUUGUCAGGGAAGAACACGUACCGGAGUAACUGCCGGUACCUUGACGGUACCUGACCAGAAAGCCACGGCUAACUACGUGCCAGCCGCCGCGGUAAUAC
rnacentral:rRNA from 1 species